GUGUAUGCCUAAUGAUGUUGUAUGUUCAUAUGUUUGUGUGUCCUUAAUGUUGCAUUUGGGAAAAAAAGGAUAUCCAAUGAAGGGUUCGUAUUUCGGUAUAUCCGUGACAUUCAAACACCAUUUAGUCUAUGUUUGAUUUUGCCUCCAAAUAUUAUUUCGGGCAUCUUUGGUUUUGAAACUGGUCUUUUAGAUUUCGUUCUUCAAUUGUUCUUCUUCUUCAUCGGUUUAGGGUUUGUAUUCCAUAGGUUGCGAAAACAUCGGGAGCUUAUAUCAUAAAUUCAUAAUUAAGCAUACAUUUAUAUGCUCUUGUUUAGAAUAAUGCAAUAAGUAAUCACAUUCCUGUGUUUUUGUAAACUCCAUGAAGAUCCAAAAAAAAAAAAAUGAUCAACAGCUUGUCAAGGAAUGCUAAGAAAAAAAGAGUUUGUCCAGGAAUUGGUCCUAUGACUCCUACCUAUGCAUAACGGUAUGGUUGCAUAUCCCUGCUACCAAACACAUAACUUCAAAAAGUCAAGUUGUCUGUAUACCCAAACAAGGCAACUGAUCAGCUUAGUCCUAAAUCCUUAAUAAUUCUUCCCAACCAUAAGCUAAUAUGCAAUCAGUAAUACUCCCUUCUUUCCAGUAUCUUUGUUUACUUUUUGCUCAUCUCAAAAUGUUUGUCCUAUUUUAAAUUAGACUUCUGAAAGGUGCUGCAAAUCUGCAAUGUACCAGCCACCACCUUGAUUUUCGCAGCAACUGACUGUAUCUAUUCAUGUUGAGCUUGAAUGCUUGUAAUUUGAUAGUGUAUCCAACCAACCUUAAUGACUUUAGGCCUGAUUACUUCCGAUGAUAAUUGCUCUUUUAGUGAAGUAUAAUAAUAACAUUGGUAUCUCAGAUAAUUGAUGGCUUUCAACAGGGAUAGGUAUUUCAGAUAGUUGAUGGCUUCCAUGAAUGGUAGUUAAGUCAUAUGCGAGUGGUUCUAUUCUCAUAUCACGGAAUGAAAUAAUUAAAGAGGCCCAAACGAGAAAGUGACCUCAUUACUGUCGGAAGAAACCCAAGGUAGGUCAUAACCAUGUAGGUGGGGAUAACAUGAACCUUUUCAGAGAAGUAUCUUGUUCAAUUGAUGACAGGAGAAACACCAUAAAUAAUAGCUUCAGUUAUCCAGUGACACCCAAAACAUUUAUAUGGGGCAUGCAGUGCUUCUUACCUUAAUUAAGUUGAAUUUGUGGUUGACGUGCAUAGCUUAUAUUCUUAAUGGUCAAAUUGGAUUGAUUAGUAAGAUGUGGAUGUGAUGAAUUGGUGACCAUUGAAAAAUCUAUUCGAACCAUUCUUUAAUUCUCGAAAUUGUUCAAGUGCUAAAAUUGUUGAAAGAUGGAUUGAAUGACUGUUGAAACUCUCUCUCUCUCUCUCUCUCUCUCUCUCUCUCUCUCUCUCUCCAUUGUAGCUUGUAAUGCAUUUUGUUUUCGGUACCUAUAUUGGUGGUUGAGAUUUGUAUUACUUGUAGUUCAUGUUGGUCGGUUUUUGGUUGGCUCAUGGCUGAGAAUUAUAAUUUUGAAGUCUGGUCUUUUAAAAGGAAGAUAGCGUGGACAGGUUCUUUCUCAAUCCAACUUCCAUGCAUAUAUUGGGAGGACGGUCGAGCUUGGUUUUCUGUUUUCCAGUAAUAUGACAUUUUACCGAUUUUAGAAGUUAGAAGUUCAUGAUCAUCUAUGUUUAGUAACAUAGAUCCCUACUUUCAUUGGGUGAUGGCAGUAGCGUCUAGACUACAAAAGAGCAGCACCACCCUUGUAAAGAAAAGUGCACCAGGCCUUGAUUUACUUAGCUUCUUCUGUGAAACCAUUCAGUUGUUUGAGCGCAAAGUUCACUUCUUCAUAUGUUUUUCUUAUCCAUUGCUCCAUGGAACUUACCUUUUUUAAGCGGUCGUCCAUUUACAAUAUCAGUGACCUCUAUGCUUUGACACUUCCAUCUGAGACUUGUAAAAAUCUUCAAAUCCUUUUAGCUCCUGGAAUAAUUCAGAAAUUUUCUCAUAACUUAGUUUUUCGGAUAAUUUGGUCAGGCAGCUUUAAUCUUUAUGCAUACAUUGUAGUCGCAUACUAGUUUUACGGCUUUUCUAAAUAGCUAGAUUGUUGUGCAUGCUCCUCGGUGGGGAAGUAGAUGCAAGUUGACACAAACUAAGAAGAGACACCCCUAUUCACCAAACACCCCUGCCAUCUCUCAUCCUCCUAUUCUCUCUCCUAUCAAUUUCAGAUUUAGUGAAGCUAUCAUUUAUUUUUGAAAAUGCGAUUUAUCUCCAGAAAGCAUGAAUUUUUUCCUUUUCUCUGCAUUUCACUUUCAUCCAUCGGUCAUGUUCUCCGAAGCAUGACACUUUCUUUUUGGGGAAUGAGGACACUUUUUUUGUGAGUUAAAGAAGCUGGUUAAUUGUUCUUUUAGUUUCCAAGGUACUCUGUGUUGCAUAGGUUUGUGGUUGAGCUGUUGGAAUCAGAGUUCUCAUUUUUACUAUUGUUGAGGUUUAUGUUUCAUUGUGGCUACUUUAUGUUGAACCUAAACUGAGUAUUUGCCACGAAAAAGAGAAGAUUUUUAUUUUAUUUGAAGGAAAAAUGUCUACAUGUUAAACAUCCAUGUGCAUGCUACUGCACUUGUGUUAAGUUUGUAUGUAUCAUGUUGAAAAUGACGUAUACACUGGAUUGCUAUUGCAGGAGAUGAGAUGUCUGGUGACUCUGGUCAGAACUCACAAGCCAAGCUUCCAUUUGAAGAAGACAAGUUUAACUUCUAAGCAUAACACUAGGAGGUACUAAGAAGUUGAACAAUUGAAGAAGAGGAAGAAUCGAUGGCUUAUGAGAAAGAUGAAAGAGCUCUAGCGCAGAAACUCCAACAUGAAUGUGAACUCUUAACCAGGCUCCAAACCCUAGCAAAGAGAGAGGGAAAUAAAGCAUUUCUGUCCGAUGUAGUGAGCAAUCAAUCUCUGAAAGGUUUCAAAUCUCUCCUGUCAUAAAAAUGAUAUAUAUGUUAAUAUAAUUUUGUGUAUACUUUCUUCUUGGGAAUUCUCUGUUGCCAGAAUCAUAAAAUUCAUGAUUAAUGCAAAAAUGACACACAUCUAUAGGUGAAUCGAGUUUGAAGUACAAUGGGUGAUGAAUCUUAUGAUUCGCCAAGUGGAUUCACAAUUCGAUUCCCAAUAUUGCAUAUUUGCAAAAUGUCGCAUUCUUCAAACUGGAAACCUUGUUACCUCUUUAUUUGUGAAAAACCAAGAAUAUAACUUCAUAAUGUGUUUAACACAAACAUAAUUGAUGCUCAUGCAUUAUAUACUAAUUAUUCCGCAAUUAAAGUAUUUAAUAGAAUCUUGGCCAUGUUUUCAACUCUUUUUUCUUGUUCUUUGCUGGAAAAUUAAAUACGUGCUCUAAAGAUAUUUAAGAUUCAAAUAACUGGUACUGAUCAAUUAUCUACUCUCAUUGCUCCUCAUCAAGUAUCUCCUGUAAUUCUGGUGAAACUUCAACUUUACGUUUUUGAAAUAAUUUUGGUUUAAGUUCUUCGAACAAUAGGUACAUAAUAAGUCCUCAAUCCUCAAUCUUGCUAAGUAUUACAUCUAGUAUGAAAGCAUAUUUGGUCAAAAUUUUACUUUGGAUUCUUGUUUCCCCUAAUUUAAGCCCUAGCGUGAUUAAUAGUAAUAAGUCCUCAAUCUUUCUAAGUAUUACAUCUAGUAUGAAAGCAUAUUUGGUCAAAAUUUUACUAUGGAUUCUUGUUUCCCCUAAUUCAAGCCCUAGCAUGAUUAAUAGUGUUUUAUAGAUGACAGGCAAGGGCGAGGCUUAAAGCUUUAAAGCCUCGGACCCAUGUCUCUUCCUAUACAAGCAGAGGCGGACCUAGUAAGUGUCCUAUGGGGGCACGUGCCCCCACUUGAUUCUCCAAAAUAAAAUACUUCCUCUUUCCCAAAUUGGAUGUCAAUUUCAACUUCUUAUAUCUUUCAAUGUGGAUUUCAAAAAAUAUACAAUAUAGAUCUUGUUUGAUUGUUCUUGAUUAAUUCUAUUAUACAAAGUUUUCAAACUCAUGAAAACCAUUAUAGAUUGAAAGGUAUAAGAAAUGAAAAAUGACACGGAUUUCAAAAAUUGUCAUUUCAUUUGGGACGGAGGGAGUAUAUUUUUUGGAAUGUUCGGACCAAUUUAUGUGCACAUUGAUUGAUCUCUAGAACCAAACCUACCUUCCACUACCGGGUGGACUGGCCACAUAAGAGUUGAUAGCAUCUGGAAUAAUACCUAAGACCUUAGAAGAGGCCAAUUGGUUUUGAGGUGGAUGCUUUAACAUGGUAUCUAAGGAUCUGACUUUCCAUCCUAUUUCUCAGUGUGUCCUAUGAUCGUUUAUCUCCCUCUUUUUCGCACUUUUUCUGUGUCUCUAUCUUCUGCUAUUGUUCGUAAGUCUUAUUUGGAGGCUCUUUCUCAUCCUAGAUGGCGCUCCGCUAUGGAAGAAGAGAUGCAUGCCUCGUCCAUAAAUCAUACUUGGACCUUUGUUCCCAAGCCUAGUGGAGCACAUAUUGUUGGUUGUCGUUGAGUGUUUACCGUCAAACAAAAUCCUGAUGGUACUCUUGAUUGACUGAAAGCUUGUCUUGUGGCCAAAGAUUUCACCCAAACCUAUGGGCUCGAUUUAUACUGAGAAUUUUCUACAGUGGCCAAACUUAAUUCUUUACGGAUUGUUAUCUCCCUUGCAGCAACUUGAUGUCAAGAAUGCCUUUCUACAUGGGGAUCUAUCUAUGACUGUCUAUAUGGCACAACCACCCGGUUUUGAGUCCAAGGGGGAGUGUGUGUUGUCUUCACAAUUCUAUAUAUGGCCUCAAAUAGUCUCCUCGGGCUCGGUUCGAUAAGUUCAGUAAUACUGUUGUUUCUCAUGGUAUGACUCGGAGUAGGCUGAUCACUCCAUGUUCUUUAAAAAGACCAUUCGUGGUAUUGUGAUUCUCGUGGUUUAUGUGAAUGAUAUCGUCAUCAUUGGUAGUGAUAGCAUUGGGAUUCGAACACUAAUUUGCCAUCUUGGUUCUAGCUUUCUUACCAAAGAUCUAGGCAAGCUUCGAUAUUUCCUUGGCAUUGAGGUGACUCGUUGCAAAGCGGGCAUCAGUUUAUCACAAAGGAAGUACACUCUCGAUCUCUUGAAAGAUAUAGGUUAUAUUGGGUCUAAACCUAGAGCUAUUCCCAUGGAGACUAAUCUUAAGUUAAUGCUUGACGAUGGUGAGCUGAUUGACGACCCUGAGAUGUAUCGGAGGCUUGUGGGAAAACUUAUUUAACUAUUACUUUACCCGAUAUCUCUUAUGCAGUCAGUGUUGUUAGUCAAUUUAUGACUCGUCCUCGAGUUUCUCAUAUGGAGGCAGUUGUUCGUAUCUUGAAGUAUCUCAAAAAUACUCCCGGACAUGGAUUUCUCUACAAAUCAUCUGGACAUCUUCGUAUUGAAGGAUAUACAGAUGCUGACAGGGCAGGAUCUCCUGUUGAUCGUCGUUCUACUAUUGGCUAUUGCACCUUUAUAGGAGGCAAUCUUGUGACAUGGAGAAGUAAGAAACAGUCUUAGUUGUAGCACGUUCUAGUUCUGAGGAAGAGUAUAGAGCAAUGGCUUAUACCGCUGGUGAGUUGACUUGGUUGCGCACACUUAUAUAAGAGUUUGGGAUUCCACUCCUCUAUAUUGUGAUAAUCAAGCUACUAUCCACAUUGCUAAUAAUCUAGUAUUCCAUGAGAGGACCAAACACAUUGAAGUUGAUUGUCAUUUCAUUCGGUCAAAGGUGGAAUCUAAAGAUAUUAGCACUUCUUUUGUACCCUCAGGCUCUCAAUUGGCUGAUAUUUUCACCAAAGCACUUCCCAAGACUUAAAUUGAUACUAUUUGUCGCAAGCUGGGAGUACACGAUGUUUUUGCUCCAGCUUGAGGGGGAGUGUUGACUGUAAUUAAUGUAUUGAAUGUAAUAAGGAAGAUACUCGAUUAGGUAGAAUCAAUUAGGGAUUUGAUUUGAUUUUAUUCUCUUUCCUUAUUUUACCUUGUAUCCGGUCUAUAUAUUGUACCUCAUUGUGAGAAGAAUAAUAUAUCGAUCGAAUAUUUCGACAACCUUGGUCGCAGUCUUGGUGCCUGAUAAAGCAUCCAACUCAACCAAUUGGCACCGCUCAUAUACUAGUUUUGGAGGUGAUAAUUACCUGAUGUGGGACAAGCUACCUCUUCAGCUACAACCAUUGUUGCCAUCCCCAUCAGGAAAUGGCUUCUCUGCAGUCCGUCCUGCCCCCGGAUUGCACGAAAUCUCAGUCAUUUAUUUCGGCAAUCGAUGGUUCAGAAGUGUUUGAAAGACUCCGACCAAUCAAGGAUUAUUUUUAUUUUAUGGGUUAGAGUCUUUGAGUGUAUCUGAGCCAUCGAUGUUCAUAUAGACGUCCAAGAUCUCGUGCAGUCCAAACCCAGAUUGCAGAGAAUCCAAGUCCCCCCAUCGAUACUUCUUGAUCUUUUGGGACCGCUUUGCCUAAGAAACUUGUGCCCUAACCUCCACAUUAAGUCAUUGCUCCUAGCGGUCCAUUCUGCAAUAGAAAGAUAAAUAACAGUAUUAAAGAGGAAAAGGACUCCUGACUACUACGAGAGCCCAAAUGUACCUGAUUGGCUUAUCUUUGGAUUUUUCUCCUCGUCCUUGCCAAUAAACUCUAGGACAACACCAAAUCCUUCCCAAACCCCACAACAAACGAAGCCCUCCUCCUCUUAUUCUUUCCCUUCUGCACCACCAAUGUCUCCUUUUAUCAACCCAUAAUGGUUUUGAGAAGCCAUACUAUAGGGCCUCUUAGGUAGUCUUGAAAAGCGGACCUCUUUUCCCAGAACACCUCAAUAGUUGGAAACCAUUAAAAAUGCCAAUUAGACCCUAUUGGGUUCAUGGAGUCUGAAGUUAAUGAUUUAGACACCGGUCUAACCUUAAGGUUACUCAGCCUAGUGCCCAUGAGAAUGUAGAUUUGGUUGGCAUGUUACAUGGGCUAGAUCUACACCUCACAUGACCACACCAUCCACCUUCCCCCACACCGUUGACUUCCUUCGAAGUCCAAAUCCUGGACGUAAGAGCCCCUCAUGCACUCUGGAUAUGUGCAACACGCCAUGGAACCAUGCACUUACUGCCUAUGAUUGUGAGUCUGUGACAUACCCCUCCAUCUUUCCAGUUGCUGACCUCUUCCCAUCACAACUGUGUGUCGCCAUGCAUUAACCGCACACGUCUGGUUCCCUUCUAAAUCAAACCACCAGUCCACUGGAUGCCGCUAGAAGGGCUGAAUUUAUGCAAAGAUAUAAGCUAGUACCGAGCAUGGCAUCACUAUUGCUCCCGCCAUUGUCCCUCCUUCAACUAACUCUGAUCCUUCUGUACCAACCAAUUCUCCUUGUGAUGCCCUCACGCCCAACUCCCUCUCGGAGCCAUUUGUGUGAGACUUGCAUAGGCUGCCGCCAAUCUUGGAAAGUGUUUCAUGACUCUGCUUUUUGAAGUCGAAUAAGUUCUAAUGAGUCUAAAGCAUGGUUUGAAAUGUCGGUGAUACGCAUCGGUAUCAGCCGAUACGUAUCGGUGUCAGUAUGUUUGGAGUCCCGAUAUUGUAGUGUGAAGGAAAAUCGCAUACGUAUUGGUGAUACGUAACGGUGGUAUGGUCUGUUAGUGCCGAUUUGGUCAAGAUUACGGUGAAUAUGUAAUGGUUGUAUCAGUAAUAAGUUGUGCAAAAUUUUAGAAAAUUUACACCUCCGCUUGCUGAUACGGUUACGCAACAACUGAUACGCCCCGAAAACUCGGCAUCCCAACCAAUACCAUUAUGGAGACCGAUACCGAUGUUUUGAACUAUGGUCCAAAGUCUGUAAACCUAUACAAUGGGUUGGUAAGCAGUGUUCUAAAACUCGGAAAUACUCGGCGAGUACUCGGUACUCGGUGCCUAGCCGAGUAGAGUUAGGGCUACUCGGUGGAAUUACUCGGCCAGCUAAUUACUCGGCAUUGCUUGGCGAGUACCCGGCGAGUACCGAUUACUCGGUAAAACGAGAUUACUCGGAAGUGGGGAGAAAAUCGAAAAAAAAAAACUGAAAAAAUGGGGUAAAAUACAUAAUAUGUUAAAUUUGAAGGUAAAACUUUGCAAUGGACUAGUAAUUUUGUACUUAGUUUCAUUUGGUUUGAACUAUGAACAUUGAACUUCUCAUUAUGCAUUAUGAAUAUCAUUUGGGGAACAUAUAAAAAAAAAAUUCCAAGUAAUUUCUACUCGCCGAGUAAUCGCCGAGUACUCGGCCUACAAGGUACAAGGUGGCCGGGCGAGCGAGUACCGAGUACCGAGUUUUAGAACAUUGUUGGUAAGAGGUGUUAGGGGCAAGCACAGGCUGUUUGGACAUGCAACAAAAUCUUGGGAAUGGGUUAUGAUGGUGAUGAGGAUGAGGUUGUUAGCAAGAUAGCAGAGAUGGAAGCUCAGAUCUGGACAAAGCUGACAGAGUUGCUGGGCAGCCCUAAACUAAUAUCUACAGAAGGGUGGUACAGGUCUUCACUUCAAUAAAUACAAUGAAGUGUUUGACUUGGAAUGUCAGAGGAUUAUCCAAAAAAUAAAAAUGAGGAAGAAUAAAGAAGGUGCCUAAAGAGAGAAAAGUGGAUAUGGUCGAUCUUUUUUCAAGAAACAAAGCAAAUAUCUGUGUCAAAAGAGUUCAUCAACUUAAUUUGGUGGAAUGGCAGCUGUGAUUUUUUGGAAGUUGACGCAAAUGAAUCAGUUGGGGGCCUUCUCUGCAUUAAUUCACAAAAUUUCUGCUUGGAGGAAACUGUGGGCUCCCGAAACUUUAUUUUUUGAAAGGUGUCUUGGUGGUGAUCUCAAUGAGAUUAGGAACUCUAAUGAAAGGCUGGGUUGUUCCAGAAGGGAUUCAGCAACUGGUUUGGCACACUUCGGAAUGCUGGGAUAACUCAUUGGAACUCAUAGGCUACAAUUCUCUUACUGAUUUGAAACCUGAUGCUGGGAUACUUUGGUGAUUCUGUUACUACUAUUACAAUGGUAGUCCUGGGCUUUGGCUGAUCCUGUCAGUGCAAUGGCAAUCUUCAUGACUGCGUUACUUCAAUUGGAAGGGAUAACAAGAUCUUGGAUACCGGAUGUGAUGCUGAUUGGAUUUGAGCCUUAUUGUGAAGCAUUAUACUUCUUUUUUAAUGUAUUUUGGGAGCUUCUAUUAGCACGUUGGGAGUUUCUUUGUAUUUUGUUUGGGUUGAUUCCUUGUCAAUCCUUGGGCUUGAAUAGCAUAUGAUUGUCGUGAUAUAGGGUGCCAACAUAGUUGGGAUUCUACUUUCAUGUUGUGUUG